GGGGGCGUAGCUCAGUGGUAGAGCACUUGCCUUUUAAGCAAGCCGCCGAAGGUCCGAUUCCUUCCGCCCUCA
rnacentral:tRNA from 1 species